GUCACUUUGCCGGAGUGGUUAACGGGAUCGCCUGCUAAAAAGCAUCUCAGCGGUUGGGCUUUGCCCGCGAGUGUUCGAAUCGCUCAGGUGACG
rnacentral:tRNA from 1 species